rnacentral:rRNA from 1 species
AGUGAACGCUGGCGGCGUGCCUAAUACAUGCAAGUCGAACGGAGAUUAAGUAGCUUGCUAUUUAAUCUUAGUGGCGCACGGGUGAGUAAUAUAUAGCUAACUUGCCCAUUACUAAGGGACAACAGUUGGAAACGACUGCUAAUACCUUAUACUCCGUAUCUAUAUAAGUAGAUACGGGAAAGUUUUUCGGUAAUGGAUAGGGCUAUAUCGUAUCAGCUAGUUGGUAAGGUAAUGGCUUACCAAGGCUAUGACGCGUAACUGGUCUGAGAGGAUGAUCAGUCACACUGGAACUGAGACACGGUCCAGACUCCUACGGGAGGCAGCAGUAGGGAAUAUUGCUCAAUGGGGGAAACCCUGAAGCAGCAACGCCGCGUGGAGGAUGACACUUUUCGGAGCGUAAACUCCUUUUCUUGGGAAAGAAUUAUGACGGUACCCAAGGAAUAAGCACCGACUAACUCCGUG